rnacentral:lncRNA from 1 species
UGGUUACAUUUCUCCAGCCCCAUCCCUCAGCUUUUUACCGAAACAGAGGCGGGGACGCGCUUUGUUAUUGUUUCAACUGCUGAAUGCCCCUUUAAAGCAGGAAUCCAGAGGUUGUGGGCGACCCAAUGCCGCCCCACUUCUUGCUUAGUAUUUUUACUUUGAACGGAAACAAGAUGAUUGAGCCCUGAGCCACAUGGUCUUCUGGGCAAGGUGUGUCUUUGCGCUAAUCUCGUCUACUCGAAUGACCCUGGUGCCCCGGAGCUGGAGGGGAAGUGAAAUCACUUGCAACCUAACGUUAGGUUCAACAGAAACAAACAAAGCCGACGAAGCCAACAAGCAUCAUUCUCGGUUCUGAAUCAACUCAACCCCAAAACAGAAAAAGAAGCAAGAAAAAGAUUGCUCAUGACCAAUCCAGAAACUGGAUAAACAUUGGAAUUAAUUUUGAAAGGUGGAAGAGUGACGCCGAAAUGGCCACCAUUCUAAUAGACUGGUAACGUUAGGGAGAUACUGGUGGAGGCAGGCUGAUUUCGAGAAAACUGAGGCUGUACAAGUUAAGCAUCAAAACUGCCGGAGUAACAGAACCAUGGAUGACUUGGACAACUUGCUGCAUAAUAAAAAACGGAACACAAAUC